CUCCAUGUGAGGACUUAGGUUGUUGUGGAAUAUUUGAGGGUCACCAAGGCAGAGAAGAAGUGUCACAAGAGGGUAGCCAACAGCUAUAUGUUUACUUUGUUUGUCCAUCCAAUGCAUAAGUUGCACUCUUAUCCUCCCAACAGCUUCAUACCAUAGUGUAAGUGCAUUUUCUACACCUGAAGGGGGCCACUGGCUUUUUCCACCAUCUGCUAGUGGAGCAAGGAUAUUUGAAAGCAUAUUACAAAGUGCAUGGUAAAGCUCACUCUUGCGUUUAUGUGGUGCACGGUUAAGAGGGUUUGCUUUUGCCACAAAGGAAGCUGAAGCAUUCAGUCCUCCCUCAGUUUUAACCCCAAGUUUCAGAUAGCGCAUCCCAUUGAUGAUGCUCAGUGUUUCACUUCGGGCAACAUUAGUGUCAAUCCGUCGAGUGUUUAAUUCCAUAAAAAAGCGUUCAGUUACAGAACUAAACCUGAUACGAGACAAGGCACCUAAGAGUUGAGCAACUAAGUCCAAAAGGAGCCCUCGUAAAUCAACCAACGAGGGAUAGUCAAUCUGGCUAACAACCCUGUCAGCAUUGAUUAGCCAGUCAAAAACAAA
rnacentral:misc_RNA from 1 species